rnacentral:rRNA from 1 species
UACGGAGGGAGCUAGCGUUGUUCGGAAUUACUGGGCGUAAAGCGCGCGUAGGCGGCUUUGUAAGUUAGAGGUGAAAGCCCGGGGCUCAACCCCGGAAUUGCCUUUAAGACUGCAUCGCUUGAAUCCGGGAGAGGUGAGUGGAAUUCCGAGUGUAGAGGUGAGAUUCGUAGAUAUUCGGAAGAACACCAGUGGCGAAGGCAGCUUACUAAGGUUUCAAUGACGCUGAGGCACGAAAGCGUGGGGAUCAAACAGG